GAGAACUGUCAUACCAUGCUGAAAACACCGGUUCUCGUCCGAUUCCCGAAGUUAAGCAGCAUCGGGUCUGGUUAGUACUUGGAUGGGUGACCGCCUGGGAAUCCCAGAUGCAGUUUCUU
rnacentral:rRNA from 1 species